CACUCUGGAGAUUAUACUACUACGUUCGAGCGGUGGAAAAGGCGAGAAAACUUUCAGCCAUUCAAGAUGCGCAAAUCAACUUGAAUGCGAAGGUCUGAGACACCUGCUCUUCCUCGAGUCGGUCCUUCAUCCAAAGAUGCCACUCAUUGCACGUAGCUACAGAAGAAAAAGAGGCUCCUGUGAAUAAUAUUUUUGCCUAGUUGGUUUCUUUUCCUGUUUUUCCGCUUUUACUUGGGAUAGAGAUAGAUGCACGACCGUUGUGCGAUUGAAACACUAGUUGCCCAAAAUUAGUGUUAGUCGUUUCGGGACGGGAGCUUCCUAUGGAAGCCUCUCCUGGUGUAAAAAAAGAAGAAGCUUUCUUCACGUCGGUGAAUAGGUUGGAUCGAUGGCGAUCCCCCUCUGCACAGUAUUAUAGCCACCAAUUGCAGAGUUCGGUAUAGACUUUUUUACGCGGAAUUACAAAUUACUACUGGGACAAUACUUUCAAUCUUGCGAGUUUGAUUCAAAGGGAUUACUGUAAUUGUACCAGGUCAUACGUGCAUGAUGCAGCACGAAGCGCAAUGUCUCUGAGCAUAGUUUUGAAGACUUUAUCUUGAGAUGAGCAAUGCUAGUAAACCAAGCUGUAUAAAUAAAUCGAUGUUUCAAAUGUUGUGAUUCCUCCGACCAAAAAAAGAAAAAUGCUGUGAUUCCAAUUUGAUGGUGGGGUGCUAUACUAUUCUCAUCCGGACCAUCGGCGAUGCAAAGUCUAUAAUGAGAAAUCUGGUUAGGAUGGGUCCAAAUUAUGCUCGUUUUUCACAAUAGAUGUAUUGAACGAUGAAGCUCUCUGUUCCUUUGAAGACCUG
rnacentral:lncRNA from 1 species